AUUGAACGCUGGCGGCAGGCCUAACACAUGCAAGUCGAGCGGAUGAGUGGAGCUUGCUCCAUGAUUCAGCGGCGGACGGGUGAGUAAUGCCUAGGAAUCUGCCUGGUAGGGGGGGACAACGUUUCGAAAGGAACGCUAAUACCGCAUACGUCCUACGGGAGAAAGUGGGGGAUCUUAGGACCUCACGCUAUCAGAUGAGCCCAGGUCGGAUUAGCUAGGUGGGGAGGUAAACGAUCAACAAGGCGGCGAUCCGUAACUGGUCUGAAAGGAUGAUCAGUCAGACUGGAACUGAGACACGGUCCAGACUCCUACGGGGGGCAGCAGUGGGGAAUAUUGGACAAUGGGCGAAAGCCUGAUCCAGCCAUGCCGCGUGUGUGAAGAAGGUCUUCGGAUUGGAAAGCACUUUAAGUUGGGAGGAAGGGCAGUAAGUUAAUACCUUGCUGUUUUGACGUUACCAACAGAAUAAGCACCGGCUAACUUCGUGCCAGCCGCCGCCGUAAUAC
rnacentral:rRNA from 1 species